rnacentral:rRNA from 1 species
GCUCAGGACGAACGCUGGCGGCGCGCCUAACACAUGCAAGUCGAACGAGAGAGAAGGAGCUUGCUUCUUCAAUCGAGUGGCGAACGGGUGAGUAACGCGUGAGGAACCUGCCUCAAAGAGGGGGACAACAGUUGGAAACGACUGCUAAUACCGCAUAAGCCCACGGGUCGGCAUCGACCAGAGGGAAAAGGAGCAAUCCGCUUUGAGAUGGCCUCGCAUCCGAUUAGCUAGUUGGCGAGGUAACGGCCCACCAAGGCGACGAUCGGUAGCCGGACUGAGAGGUUGAACGGCCACAUUGGGACUGAGACACGGCCCAGACUCCUACGGGAGGCAGCAGUA